UUUAUAUGUUUUCCCGAAACUUUUAUGUCGUUUACUCUAUAUCCACAAAGCUAAUUAGGUUACCGUCGUCGACGCCAUACUCAUCUAGAUCUACUCACUGUUUCGAGCUGCCCAGCCAUCCUCGACUCCAGCGUCAUCGAUUUAUUCUCUAUUGGGAGUUGGUGGUUCGUCUUUCUCUUGAUUCUAUAUGUUAUCUGGAUUCCGGAUAAGACGAGACGUUGCAGAGGAAAUACUAAAGUUUUAGAGGAAGUAAUAGUAAAAUCUUCUUCCAAUUCGUUUAGGGUUUCAAAUUUUCAUCUCAGGCUUUUCUUUCUACGGUUUUGUUCGAGUUUUAUGGUCCCUGGUGUGGACAUUGUCGGAAAUUGGCACCGAUCUUGGAUGAAGUUGCUGUCCACCAUGAAAAGGAUGCUAAUGUUUUGAUUGCAAAAUUUAUUGGGAAAGGUAUAUAAACUCGAACCAGGUCAUGCACGGAUGGAAAGAGAUGGUUUAUGAGUAAAAGAACUGGAUCGAGGUAAAUACCGGGAGUUUUUUGCAGAGAAAUGGGCACUCGAUCUUCUCGAUGAUUGGGCUCCAAUGGAUCCAAAAGGGAAGACCAGGGAAGAGGCAGAGGAGGUUCUGACCAGGGAACACAAGUACCGCCCUGUUUCCGAUGCUGAUGAUCGAUCCGCGAUGGUUUAUCUGUUGGCUGCUCAAAGGGAGAAAUGGGGAGAUGAGGUUUACCUAGAGAAUGUUUAUUACUUGCAGGGUUCUCGGGGGGAGUUUGAUUGAUAGGUAUGAAGACAUGAUCGAGAGUUAUCACCCCAUUUUAGGUGAUAAUCGUUUGCCGCUGGUGACUCACUUUGUGGGAUGUAAACCUUGUGGGAAGCUCGACAAUUACCCGGUUGACAAGUGCUUCAAGCUGAUGGACAGAGCAUUCAAAUUCGGGGAAAAUCAGAUUCUUCAGAUGUAUGAGUUCGACACGAAACCCAUAAUCCCCUCCUGCUGAAACAUCAUCAACUUGGAUUGCUUCUUCCAUCUUUUAAAACGGCUAGGAUACAUACAUUCUAUUUACCAAAUCUAAUAUCUCAUCUUAGAACAAAAUUAUUGGAAUACAACAUUAUUUGAUACAAAUAAAUUAUUGAAAAUGUUACUUUA